rnacentral:sRNA from 2 species
UCCUUCUAUAAGAACCCCCUCGUACGACCCCUUCUUCUGAUCUUCUUUCUCUUUCUUUCCUUAAUCGAUUCGUAAACUGUUACCAGGAUAGUGUCAAGUCCGUUGAUAUUGCCGUUGGAACGGAUCGUACGAACUGCGCAGGCGGUACGAACGGUUUAAUCUGCAACAUCGGUAACAUCUGCUUAAUCGGUGGCACGCCCGUCACA